rnacentral:rRNA from 1 species
GACGAACGCUGGCGGCGUGCUUAACACAUGCAAGUCGAACGGAAAGGCCCUGCUUUUGUGGGGUGCUCGAGUGGCGAACGGGUGAGUAACACGUGAGUAACCUGCCCUUAACUUUGGGAUAACUUCAGGAAACUGGGGCUAAUACCGGAUAGGAGCUCCUGCUGCUUGGUGGGGGUUGGAAAGUUUCGGCGGUUGGGGAUGGACUCGCGGCUUAUCAGCUUGUUGGUGGGGUAGUGGCUUACCAAGGCUUUGACGGGUAGCCGGCCUGAGAGGGUGACCGGCCACAUUGGGACUGAGAUGCGGCCCAGACUCCUACGGGAGGCAGCAGUGGGGAAUAUUGCACAAUGGGCGGAAGCCUGAUGCAGCAACGCCGCGUGCGGGAUGACGGCCUUCGGGUUGUAAACCGCUUUCGCCUGUGACGAAGCGUGAGUGACGGUAAUGGGUAAAGAAGCACCGGCUAACUACGUG